rnacentral:rRNA from 1 species
GACGAACGCUGGCGGCGUGCUAAACACAUGCAAGUCGAACGAUGAACCCGGAGCUUGCUCCGGCGGAUUAGUGGCGAACGGGUGAGUAACACGUGAGUAACCUGCCCUUGACUCUGGGAUAACUGCGGGAAACUGUAGCUAAUACCGGAUACGACCCUCGGCGGCAUCGCCAGGGGGUGGAAAGAAUUUCGGUCAAGGAUGGACUCGCGGCCUAUCAGCUAGUUGGUGAGGUAACGGCUCACCAAGGCGACGACGGGUAGCCGGCCGGAGAGGGUGACCGGCCACACUGGGACUGAGACACGGCCCAGACUCCUACGGGAGGCAGCAGUGGGGAAUAUUGCACAAUGGGCGCAAGCCUGAUGCAGCAACGCCGCGUGAGGGAUGACGGCCUUCGGGUUGUAAACCUCUUUUAGUAGGGAAGAAGCGAAAGUGACGGUACCUGCAGAAAAAGCACCGGCUAACUACGUGCCAGCCGCCGCGGUAA